GUGCUUGUUUCAGCAGCACAUACACUAAAAUUGGAAUGAUAUGGAGAUUAGCAUGGCCCAUAUGCAAAGACGACUCAAAUUCAUUCAGCGUUCUAUAAUUUU
ensembl:snRNA U6 U6 spliceosomal RNA